rnacentral:tRNA from 1 species
UGCAGAUGGGCUGGAGCUCAACUGGGUCUCAUAAGCCCGGUCUUGUCGGUUCGAUUCCGACAUCUGCAAC